CUAACCGGGUAAAGCAAAUGAUUAGAGGCCUUAGGGCCGAAACAACCUUAACCUAUUCUCAAACUUUAAAUGGGUAAGAACCUAAAAUUUCUUGAAUGAAUUUUUAGGUUAUGAUAUAUUGUGCCCAGUGGGCCACUUUUGGUAAGCAGAACUGGCGCUGUGGGAUGAACCAAACGUGACGUUACGGUGCCUAAAUUAACAACUCAUGCAGAUACCAUGAAAGGCGUUGCUUGCUUAAAACACCAGGACGGUGGACAUGGAAGUCGUAAUCCGCUAAGGAGUGUGUAACAACUCACCUGCCGAAGCAACUAGCCCUUAAAAUGGAUGGCCCUUAAGUUGUAUACCUAUACGCCACUGUUAAUGUAUAUGAUUUA
rnacentral:rRNA from 1 species